rnacentral:lncRNA from 1 species
UUGUUCAGCCCGCCCUAAAUUUUUUUUCUAGCUUCGUCGAUGCUCCCACGCCGCAUCCCCUCUCCACAAGGAACCGCAGCCCCCUGAUGUGCUCGUGUCGAGGUCGGCUUUCGGCGACGAUCUCCACGAUGGCCUGCGAGCUUGGCUCCGGAUUCGCGCCUGAGUGACGGCGCGGCUUCGGCCGAUCACCUGCUCCGGUCCUGCCUCACCUGACCGAGCCGUGCUCGUGCGCGCCGACCAGUCGACGGACGACGACCGAGCCGCACUCGUGCGCAGCAGGUGGAGGAGGACUGGGUCGCCGCGGAACCUGGCUUCUAGGACGCCAAGCUCCAAGCUCGUCUCGCCCGCCACCGGAGGACCUCGCCAAGCCGCACGCGACGCGACGCCUGCGACCCCUACACCGGCCUCUGGAACUGGUCCAACCCGGCUUCUACGACGCCCAGCUCCAAGCUCGUCUCGCCCGCCACCGGACGACCUCGCCAAGCCGCACGCGACGCGACGCCUGCGACCCCUACACCGGCCUCUGGAACUAGAACUGGUCCAUGUCCGUUCCUUGCUCCCCUCCCCUUACUGAUUUGUUUUGUUUCAGCACCUGAUUUUGGUAGUGAUUUGUUUCUGAAUCCUGGAUAGAUAGAAUCGUUUCAGCACUUUGUUAUUGAUUUGUUUUGUUUCAGCACCUGAUUUUGGUAGUGUUUUAUUUCUGAAACCUGGAUAGAUAGAAUCGUUUCAGUACCUGCAUUUUUGUAUUGAUCUGAACCUGCAUUUUCUGAUAGAUCUUUUGACAGUGAGGACACUACUACUACUAUUAGGCAGUAGCAAUCACUACAUUAAACCUGAAAUUUCUUAUUGAUCUCAGCCUGUUUCGCUUGGUCAUCUCGAAGUGAUGUGAGCCUUGGAAAUGUACUGAAUUGAAA